CGGUCAGUGCGAGAGGCUGCAACGUGCCGCGAGCAUGCGUCUGCGACGGACGGCCCUUAAGGCGGAUACGCAACACGCCGACUCGUCGCCGUCGUCGUCGUCGUCACCGUCGUUGUCCACACCCGUGAAUGCUCAUUUUUCGCCGUAACAUACCGUCGAUGAGGCGAAAAACGGACGAACAGGUUCGUAGCCGCGCGCAUGCCACACGAUCGAGCCGAGACCGGUCUCGAUUCCUAACCAAUCUCGAUUCUCAGCCAAUCUUGGUGUAUCAGCGGCCUGAUCGCUACCGAAACCGUUCACCCCUCGCCGUUCCAGUCCCUACCCGCGAAACGUUUCGCCGUUUACUCGCCACUCGCGACAUGUCGGUGGACGAGCAGUGAUUCGACGCGAAUUGUACCCGCCUGUGUUCCGCUACCUCGGCGGUCGGUUCAAUUCUCGCGGGACUUGUGCACGACCCGACCAGUGCUGACAGCCCGGAGUGUCCACGUCCGCGGUAAGUUUGGUGACGUUCGCGAUCGACCCGCGAUCGCACGGUAUCGUCGUUGUAUCUGGAAUUAACAACAAAACCCCUCGCAGGGAAUUUUUCUUGCUCCGUUAUCGAUUCCUCCCCCCGCGCUGUCAAUGGACACGUCGAAGAAUCCCCAGUUGAGCACGGGCCGCGGAACGACACAGUAGCGAGCCGCGAAGGAAAAGAAUGCUACCGGGGCUCGUUAAUCGGACAGUGAUCGAAACUUGUGACACAGUGUUUUGUUGUUGUUAUUGUUGUUGUUGUUGUUGUUGUUAUUGUUGUUGUUGUUAUCGUCGUUGAGUGCGGACCGUGGUGCGCGGGACAGACCCUUCCGAGGAUCGAACAGGGCUGUUCGAGGUUCCCCGCGACUGUGAGGGCCUGGGCUCUGUGCAUCGAUAUUUUUGAGAUCCACGAGACCGACCGAGGCGGCAAGCUGGACGCGGAGGUCGGAGGCGGCGGUAGCCGCAGGGGUGUCAGCCCGCCAAUGCAUCUAGGCAACAUAAACAUGAUUUGGUCAUUUGAUACUUUUUCCGCCAACCCUGGACGACCGGUAAGUGACACUGUUCUGUCGACUGAUUUUGGUGGACAACCAUACGUAUGUAAGUUUCAAUUAUUUAUAAAGAACUUCGUGGUAAAACUUCAAAUUAAAUCAGAUU